GAUGAACGCUGGCGGCGUUCCUAAUACAUGCAAGUCGAGCGAAGCGGGGACGGGUGAGUAACCCGUGGAUAACCUCCUAUAAGACUGGGAUAACUUCGGGAAACCGGAGCUAACCCGGAUACUUCUCGCUGUAUCCUCGCUGCAUUAGCUAGUUGGUACGGUAACGGCUGACCAAGGCAACGAUGCAUAGCCGACCUGAGAGGGUGAUCAGCCACAAUGGAACUGAGAAACGGUCCAGACUCCUACGGGAGGCAGCAGGGGGGAAUCUGCCGCAAUGGGCGAAAGCCUGACGGAGCAACGCCGAGUGAGUGAUGAAGGUCUUAGGAUCGUAAAAGUCUGUGAUUAGGGAAGCGGUACCUAAAGAGAAAGCCACGGCUAACUACGUGCCAGCAGCCGCGGGAAUUG
rnacentral:rRNA from 1 species